rnacentral:rRNA from 1 species
UCCGGUUGAUCCUGCCAGAGGUCACCGCUAUUGGGAUUCGACUAAGCCAUGCGAGUCGAGAGGGUUCGGCCCUCGGCUGACGGCUCAGUAACACGAUGGAUAAUCUGCCCUAAGGUGGAGGAUAACCUCGGGAAACUGAGAAUAUAUACCCCAUAGGUCUAGGAGGCUGGAAUGCGCCUAGACUUAAAGCUCUGGCGCCUGAGGAUGAGUCUGCGGACUAUCAGGUUGUAGUCAGGGUAAAGACCUGACUAGCCUACGACGGAUACGGGUCGUGAGAGCAAUAACCCGGAGAUGAUAUCUGAGACACGAUAUCAGGCCCUACGGGGCGCAGCAGGCGCGAAAACUUCACACUGCGCGAAAGCGCGAUGAGGGAAUCCCAAGUGUAUGCACGUAAGUGUAUACUGUUACUAUGUUUAAAACGCAUGGAGAGUAAGAGCUGGGUAAGACGGGUGCCAGCCGCCGCGGUAAUACCUGCAGCUCGAGUGGUGAUCAUUAUUAUUGGGCCUAAAACGUCCGUAGCGGGUCUGUUAAAUGCCUGGGUAAAUCGUGUCGCUUAACGAUACGAAUUCUGGGUAGACUGACAAACUUGAGACCGGGAGAGGCUAGAGGUACUCCUGGGGUAGAGGUGAAAUUCUGUAAUCCUAGGGGGACCACCAGUGGCGAAGGCGUCUAGCUAGAACGGGUCUGACGGUGAGGGACGAAGCCCUGGGGCGCAGAACCGGAUUAGAUACCCGGGUAGUCCAGGGUGUAAACGCUGCUUGCUUGAUGUUAGUCGGGCUCCGAGCCCGAUUAGUGUCGGAGUGAAGAUGUUAAGCAAGCUGCCUGGGAAGUACGGUCGCAAGGCUGAAACUUAAAGGAAUUGGCGGGGGAGCACAGCAACGGGUGGAGCGUGCGGUCUUAAUUGGAUUCAACGCCGGG